UGAUAGAGUUUCCACAUGCCCUUCAUUCAGCUUCCCUGAAUGUUACCAUCUUAUAGAACCAUGGUACAUUUAUCAAAACCAAGAAAUUAGCAUUAGUAUAAUACUAUUAACUGAACUACAGAAUUUAUUCAGAUUUCCCCAGGUUUUUUUCCUGCUAAUGUCUAUUUUUUGUUCCACAAUUUAAUCCAGGAUACAACGUUACAUUUAGCAGUGGAUUAUCUUCAAAUGCAGAUGGUCACGUCGCCACACCCAGGAAGCAUGUUUUGGCCUGCACUCUGAGACCAGUGUUCGGUCCUCAACAAGGCCUAAGGGCCCAUGCCUGCUUCUGCAGCCUCAUCUCACCCUGCUCUGGGCUUCAAGUAGGAGCCACUGGGAUUUCCAAUCAUCAACCUCGCCUCCUCUCCCUUCUCUCAAGCUGUUCCAUCUGUACCAACACUCUUCCCUUCUUUUUGGCCAGCUGCUUAUCCAUUUGGGCUCAGCUUACAUGUAUUACUUCCUCACAGUGGCCCAUUCAGCCCUUCAGACUGGGUGAGUCUCCUGCUGUAGGCUUUGCAUACUUGGGACCACUUUAGUGACGGUUUAUUGUGCCUGAUUCACUCCCCAUUAGACUGUCAGCUCCUCUAGGGCAGGGAUCAUGCUGCUUUUGAUCUCUGCUGUAUCUCUACUAUGUAGAAUAUGCCUGGUAUCUGAUAGACUUUUAAUGAAAAUGUGUCAAUUAACUCACAUCCUGUGCCACUUUCUACCAAUCACUUCCCCUUGCUGGACCUCAGUUUUCUCACCUGCAGACUGAGGAAUUUAAUUUGUUCACUGAUUUUCCAAUUGUGUUUUGGAAACCCUAGAAUUUCCUGGGCUCAAGAGGAGCUACAUUUAAAGAGCAUAUGUUUUCAUGUGCUUCAAAAUUGGGCUUCUGAGAAAGAUCUCUCUUAAUGGAUUUUGAAGAUUCUGCUGCUUAAAAAGGCAGUGGUGAGCCAUUGAAGGUUUCUGAACAGAGAAGCACUUAUUGGGAGCUGUCAGAGCUGUGCUUCAGGAGAUGAAUCUGGCAACAAUGUGGGUAGGAUGGACAGAUGAUGAUUGGUCAGUGGAGGAGGAGGGGAGCCAGGAGAGAGGGUUGUCAUGGAAGCCAAGUGAGAAGAGAAUUUAAUAGAGGAGGAGGAAGAGGUUGCUAACAGUGUCUGAUGCUGCAGAAAGCAGGUGGGGAUCAGAAGGGGUCUUUGGAAGCAGUGGCAAAACCACGAGUGACCUUUGAGAGUGAUGUUGGUGACCAGGCAAGGGCUGAACCCAAAUCAAAGUGGGAGGAGGAGCAGCUGAAAGGUGAAAAAGCAGAGGCGGAAGGUACCCUCUCUGCUUUUGAGAAGUUUGGUGGCGGACGGAACUAGUAAGGUGGAUGAGAAGCUGCGAGAGGGUUAGCAAGACAGACCGAGAGGCUUAUUUUCUCCUUUUUCAUCAGAAAUCAAAAGCUACCGAGCAUCUUGUAGUCAGGAGAAAAAAAGCUAGUGGACAGUGAGGGAGUGGAGACUCAAGUAGAAGAAGUGAAAUAGGGUGUCAUUUAUGGAGCAAGCCCUGUGGGGGGGGGGGCACUGAGAGUGGGAAGGGGUCAGCCUUGGAAAGGAGAAGACCCAUUUUUCUCUAAGCCUGGAGGGAAGGUGAAGAGAGUAGUGAAGGUGGAAGUUUUGGGGUGGAGUAGUGAAGGGGAAGUUUAUAAUGUCAUUGCAGUGUAGUGAGAGCUGACGUUAUCUGCACAGAGAGGUUGGAAGGUGGCUUCAGAUUUCACAGUUGAGAAGGCCAGCAGGAGUAUAAGGGGGGUGUGACCACCAAGCUUCCAGAAUCUACAGGGAGAAAGAAGCAAACAUCAUCUGUGUGUCUUCACAGGGAAAAGUCAGGACCAGUGGGUAUAUUUUUGGGGAAGUAGAUUUCAGUUUAGUCUAGGCAAGGCUGUUCAGGGAUCUUAGUUGACCAACAAUGGAAUGACCUCCCAGUCACUUUUCAGACUCAGGCUGCAGGCCCAUUCAUCAGGCAUGCUGUGCAUGGGCUUCUUGCCCUGGCAUGGAGUGUGGAUGCGACGAGUUCCAUGCUCCCUCCUGGCUCCGAGACUUGAUGACUGCAAGAAUGACAGCCGGCUUGAAGAAUGGGCAGUUGGGCUCACCUUUCUCACCGACCUCAGGACUGGAGGCAUGAGGGGGGCAACUAGAAAAGAGUUCAGCCCUGGGGAAGACGCCAUCCCUAGGAAACUCUCCUCUGAGCCCUCCCUUGGCUUCCACAGGCUCUUUCAGAGAGACAGCUGUUGAGCUUGGAAAAGGCCCAAAGUCAAUACAAUAAUGACUUCCCCUCCCGGCUAUAUCCCAGGCCCCUCUGUGUCAUUCAGAAAUUGGCUAAUAAAGUUCACUUUGAUAUGA